rnacentral:rRNA from 1 species
CGCCAGACUCCUACGGGAGGCAGCAGUGAGGAAUAUUGGUCAAUGGGCGCGAGCCUGAACCAGCCAAGUCGCGUGAGGGAUGACGGCCCUACGGGUUGUAAACCUCUUUUGUCGGGGAGCAAAUUCCGUUACGUGUAACGGAGUCGAGAGUACCCGAAGAAAAAGCAUCGGCUAACUCCGUGCCAGCAGCCGCGGUAAUACGGAGGAUGCGAGCGUUAUCCGGAAUUAUUGGGUGUAAAGGGUGCGUAGACGGGAGUCUAAGUUAGUUGUGAAAUCCCGCGGCUCAACUGAGGAACUGCAACUAAAACUGGACAUCUUGAGUGCAGGAGAGGAAAGUGGAAUUCCUAGUGUAGCGGUGAAAUGCGUAGAUAUUAGGAGGAACACCAGUGGCGAAGGCGACUUUCUGGACUGUAACUGACGUUGAGGCACGAAAGUGUGGGGAGCAAACAGGAUUAGAUACCCCAGUAAAA